CCUACGGGAGGCAGCAGUGGGGAAUAUUGCACAAUGGGCGGAAGCCUGAUGCAGCAACGCCGCGUGCGGGAUGACGGCCUUCGGGUUGUAAACCGCUUUCGCCUGUGACGAAGCGUGAGUGACGGUAAUGGGUAAAGAAGCACCGGCUAACUACGUGCCAGCAGCCGCGGUGAUACGUAGGGUGCGAGCGUUGUCCGGAUUUAUUGGGCGUAAAGGGCUCGUAGGUGGUUGAUCGCGUCGGAAGUGUAAUCUUGGGGCUUAACCCUGAGCGUGCUUUCGAUACGGGUUGACUUGAGGAAGGUAGGGGAGAAUGGAAUUCCUGGUGGAGCGGUGGAAUGCGCAGAUAUCAGGAGGAACACCAGUGGCGAAGGCGGUUCUCUGGGCCUUUCCUGACGCUGAGGAGCGAAAGCGUGGGGAGCGAACAGGAUUAGAUACCCUUG
rnacentral:rRNA from 1 species